rnacentral:rRNA from 1 species
UCACAAUGUGGGAAACCACGAUGAGGGGAGUCCAAGUGCAUGCGCAUUGCGUAUGCUGUUCAGUUGCCUAAAAAGCUGCUGAAGGAAGGGCUGGGUAAGACAGGUGCCAGCCGCCGCGGUAAUACCUGCAGCCCGAGUGGUGGUCGAUAUUAUUGAGCCUAAAGCGUCCGUAGCCGGUCUGGUAAACCCUUGGGUAAAUCGGGCAGCUUAACUGUUCGAAUUCCGAGGGGACUGCCAGACUUGGGACCGGGAGAGGUCAGAGAUACUCCAGGGGUAGGGGCUAAAGGCGAUCCCGUGUUCAUAUCAAAUAUGAGCCGAUCGCAUAGCAUUCCUGUAAUCCUUGGGGGACCACCAGUGGCGAAGGCGUCUGACUAGAACGGAUCCGACGGUAAGGGACGAAACCCUGGGUCGCAAACCGGAUUAGAUACCCGGGUAGUCCAGGGCGUAAACGCUGCAGGCUUGGUGUUGGGGGUCCUACGAGGGCGCCCAGUGCCGGAGUGAAGAUGUUAAGCCUGCCGCUUGGGAGUACGUCCGCAAGG